AGCUUUGCGCAGUGGCAGUAUCGUAGCCAAUGAGGUUUAUCCGAGGCGCGAUUAUUGCUAAUUGAAAUUAAUUGUUAAAAUGAGAUUUUUAAAUGUUGUGUAUACAUACA
rnacentral:snRNA from 1 species